rnacentral:rRNA from 1 species
UACGUAGGGUGCGAGCGUUGUCCGGAAUUACUGGGCGUAAAGAGCUCGUAGGUGGUUUGUCGCGUUGUUCGUGAAAACUCACAGCUUAACUGUGGGCGUGCGGGCGAUACGGGCAGACUGGAGUACUGCAGGGGAGACUGGAAUUCCUGGUGUAGCGGUGGAAUGCGUAGAUAUUGGGAGGAACACCGGUGGCGAAGGCGGGUCUCUGGGCCGAUACUGACGCUGAGGAGCGAAAGCGUGGGGAGCGAACAGG